UAGGGAAUCUUCCGCAAUGGGCGAAAGCCUGACGGAGCAACGCCGCGUGAGUGAUGAAGGUCUUCGGAUCGUAAAACUCUGUUAUUAGGGAAGAACAUAUGUGUAAGUAACUGUGCACAUCUUGACGGUACCUAAUCAGAAAGCCACGGCUAACUACGUGCCAGCAGCCGCGGUAAUACGUAGGUGGCAAGCGUUAUCAGGAAUUAUUGGGCGUAAAGCGCGCGUAGGCGGUUUUUUAAGUCUGAUGUGAAAGCCCACGGCUCAACCGUGGAGGGUCAUUGGAAACUGGAAAACUUGAGUGCAGAAGAGGAAAGUGGAAUUCCAUGUGUAGCGGUGAAAUGCGCAGAGAUAUGGAGGAACACCAGUGGCGAAGGCGACUUUCUGGUCUGUAACUGACGCUGAUGUGCGAAAGCGUGGGGAUCAAACA
rnacentral:rRNA from 1 species